rnacentral:lncRNA from 1 species
GAGAAAGUGGUUGAUCUUAGAAUCAAGAAGUGCUAUGGGGGAAACGAUGUGUUCUUUGGGCAUUUAGAGGAGGAAGUAGGCUUUACCUUACGGCAGGGUUAGGAGCCUGUUUCCCUGCACGUCUGCCUAGGGAAAGAGGUAAAUAAAGCCCUUCUCCUCCUUCCCUCCAGAGGACCCCAUGGAGGCCUGCUGGGCUAUGCCCUCCCUCACUGGCCUGGCCAGGGCACGUGGGAGCACCCAGCAGCUGGGGCUCCUGGGCACCUAGUGCCCGCCGGGCUCUGCCCUGGGAGCUGUGGGGCUCACAGCCCUAUGAACUUCAUACUCCUGCAGGGGCAUGGGGCAACUUGAAGGGGAGUUGGUAGGUGUGACAAAGCGGGCCCCAGCCUGGGUCUGGCACGCUGAGUCCUCCUUCCCGGCCACCUCUCCUUACUCCGAAGGCUUCCUAGAUGGUCUUGCCCAGGUUGUCAGGUGCUCCUCUGAGUGAUGGGUUAAGAGGAAGCAGCUGCUGUGUGUGGGGCUGUAGGGGGACCAGCUGUUCUAGCUGGCUCAUCACUGAGGAGUUCCCGGAUGCACCACUUUGGUGCUAAACUCAGAAAGUCCUGGGCAACCCAAAACAAGUCGGUCAUUUGGGCAGGGUACCAGCCGCUUUUCAGGAUUCACCUUGCGGAACCCACAGUGGUGGUCGUGUUAUCUACCCAUUGUAAAGAAGAAAUGAAGGUUGGAAGAGGCUAAACAAGCUGCCCAAACUCUCCAGAUGGGAGGGAAGAAUGGACAUUUGAAUUUAGGACCACUGGACCCAUGCUCUUUCUCCUGGAUGCCUCUGAGGUUGAGAGAUGAGAAGUGGCCUUCACCGGUGCGAAUCUGUGAUGCCCAAACGAUGCUGCACGGGCAAAUUGGGAACUGUUGGUGUUGGGGAAAGGACAGCCUGGGAACCUGAGAACCCGAGAGCCGUCCCUGCCCCUCUAGAAGGUGAGCACAAACAUCCUGGACCUCGCUUUCCUCUUUAUAGUGUGGGCAUAAUGAUACAUUUGCUGUCUGCUGGUAAGAUUGUUCUGAGAUUUGAUUAACCAGCUGUAGCAAAAAUAAAUACGCAAAACAAG